UACAGAGGAUGCAAGCGUUAUCCGGAAUGAUUGGGCGUAAAGCGUCUGUAGGUGGCUUUUUAAGUCCGCCGUCAAAUCCCAGGGCUCAACUCUGGACAGGCGGUGGAAACUACCAAACUGGAGGCCGGUAGAGGAGGGUGGAAUUCCCGGCGUAGUGGUGAAAUGCGUAGAGAUCGGGAGGAACACCAGUGGCGAAGGCGGCUCACUGGCCCGGAACUGACGCUGAGAUGCGAAAGCGUGGGGAGCAAACAGG
rnacentral:rRNA from 1 species